rnacentral:rRNA from 1 species
UACGUAGGUGGCGAGCGUUGUCCGGAUUUAUUGGGCGUAAAGCGCGCGCAGGCGGUUGUCUAAGUCUGCUGUGAAAUCUCCCGGCUCAACUGGGAGGGGGCGGCGGAGACUGGGCGACUGGAGGGACCUAGAGGCCGGUGGAAUUCCCGGUGUAGUGGUGAAAUGCGUAGAGAUCGGGAGGAACACCUGUGGCGAAGGCGGCCGGCUGGGGGUACCCUGACGCUGAGGCACGAAAGCUAGGGGAGCAAACAGG